AUCUCUCUUUUUCUCAUUUGAUUUUGGUACAAAGUUCCCUCAACCUUCAUAAUACCUGUUCUGACAACUGAAACAACCAAUCAGACAGGUACUGUACACCUGAACUCAGCAUCUGCUGUCACUCAUGUUUCAGAACUGCUUUUUAAUUUUUUGUAGAUGGUCACAUUUAAAGUAUAGGAGGCCAUAAUACUGUAGGUUUAGAGGUUAUACAUUAUCAUCAUGGCCUUUCAGUUGUGACAAUCUUUAAUCAUGACAACUUUUUGUAAACAAAGAUGAAUUACAAUUUGAAUUCCUUUUUCAUAUUUUUUGUUCCUUGUGUACUUUACAGAGCCACCCAUCAUGACCAACACUGCUGCUAAAGUGUUCACUGGAGUAGGAGCUUCGGUUCUAGUAGUAGCGGUUCUAGUAGUAGCAGUUCUAGCGGUCACAUUUUUCAGAAGGAGGUGUUGUGGCCCAUUGCCACACCAGCAGCAUGCAAGGCCCAUUGAGAUGGAGAAUUUCCUGCCAAAUCCAGAUCAAGUGUAAUAAAACAAUAACGAUGUUUACUUAGGACCAGACCAUAACUGAAGAAUAACACUGGCGUGUUAUCAAUCAAGUGCAAUUGUUAGGUUUUCAGCUCUCUAAGC
rnacentral:lncRNA from 1 species